rnacentral:rRNA from 1 species
AGAGAAUAGAUACCCGGGUAGUCCACGCCGUAAACGAUGGGUACUAGAUUUGGUGGGUCUUGACCCCCGCCGAAAUCGGAGCUAAACGCAAAUAAAGUACCCCGCCUGGGAAGUACGGUCGCAAGACUAAAACUCAAAGGAAUUGACGGGGGCCCGCACAAGCGGUGGAUCAUGUGGUUUAAUUCGAAGCAAACGCGAAGAACCUUACCUGGAUUUGACAUCCUCUGACAUCCGUAGAGAUACGGCUUUGGUAGCAAUACCACAGAGAGACAGGUGCUGCAUGGCUGUCGUCAGCUCGUGUGGUGACAUGUUGGGUUAAGUCCCGCAACGAGCGCAACCCUUGUCCUUAGUUGCCAGCAUUUAGUUGGGCUCUCUAAGGAGACUGCCGUGGUUAACACGGAGGAAGGUGGGGAUGACGUCAAGUCCUCAUGGCCUUUAUAUCCAGGGCGACACACGUGAUACAAUGGACGGUACAGAGGGAAGCCAAAGCGCAAGCUGGAGCUAAUCUCAAAAAGCCGUUCUCAGUUCGGAUUGGAGUCUGCAAC